ACAAACUCUUUUGUUAAAUGAAAUUUUCCCACUAAAAUCAAGGUUCCUCACAAGACAGAGAAAGGGUUCACAAUCUUCAGUCUUCCGUUUCGCAAAUCAGGGUUCAGGUUCAUCUUCCGUCUACCUCUUUCCAUCUACUCUCAUGCAAAGAUUUCAGUGGAUUUAACUCUAUGGCAAACGAGCCUGGAACUGCACAGCUGACAUUGCAACAUAAUGGAAAUUUUUUUGUGGUGGAUAAUUUUCCUGCUGACAAAUUUGACGAGCUAAAGUUAUUUGCGCAAACUCUGACUCAGCCUGCAGUUGUUCCUAAUAUGAUCCCUCAGCCACCACCUUCCAGUUCCACACAAAUUGUUAGAUAACCAGCAAUAAUUGAUUACUAUUCAGAACAAUCAACAUUUGGUUUCAAUAGAAGAGGUUCAUUUAGUCGAUUCAUUCGAAGGAGGAAAGAUAGAGUUACUGCCAAACCACCACAGUAAAAAACAAGCAAUCCGUCUCCGCUUCAGUAAAGUUUGCCAAGUCCAUUCCGUGACUUGUGUUAGGUGCUAAAACAAUGUAAAUCUCAGGGCAAUCACAGUUUUAUGCUAGUUCUCUCUUGUUGUCAUUUCAUGGCUUGUGUUUUGCGCCAAGAAUAUAUAAUAGAUCUAACAUAGUCUAUUUCCGGUAAUUAGUUUUUCUCGUUUUUGGAAUUAAUUUUUCGUAUUUCUUUUGUAUGUUUUCU